UACAGAGGUCCCAAGCGUUGUUCGGAUUCACUGGGCGUAAAGGGUGCGUAGGUGGUGAGGUAAGUCGGAUGUGAAAUCUCCGGGCUCAACCCGGAAAUGGCAUUGGAAACUACCUUGCUGGAGGGUUUGAGGGGGGAUUGGAAUACUUGGGUGUAGCAGUGAAAUGCGUAGAUAUCAAGUGGAACACCAGUGGCGAAGGCGAAUCCCUGGAAAUACCUGACACUGAGGCACGAAAGCUAGGGGAGCAAAACAGG
rnacentral:rRNA from 1 species